rnacentral:lncRNA from 1 species
GGUGAGACAUUGGCCAUAUUAAACAAAACUUGACUAGAUAUAAUAUAUAGUAUCCCUAUUUUUCUUUUGUAUAUAAAUUGCUUAUAUAAAAAUUCUAGCAUGCUUUCACACUUGUCGCAUCUUUAAAAACAAUCCUGAUCUUCUUUUUUGUGCGAUCCUGUUUCUUUUAUCAUAAAACAGUCAUAUUAUUCAUGUAUCAAUUAACCAAUUAACAAAAAUG